rnacentral:rRNA from 1 species
CAGUAGCCACGGGAAUACGAGGGGGGCAAGCGUUGUUCGGAACUAUUGGGCGUAAAGGGCGCGUAGGCGGCGAUCAAAGUCAGGCGUGAAAUUCCUGGGCUCAACCUGGGGGCUGCGUUUGAUACUUGAUUGCUAGAGUGGGGAAGAGGGUCGUGGAAUUCCCAGUGUAGAGGUGAAAUUCGUAGAUAUUGGGAAGAACACCGGUGGCGAAGGCGGCGACCUGGUCCUUGACUGACGCUGAGGCGCGAAAGCUAGGGGAGCAAACAGGAUUAGAUACCCCUGUAGUCCCUGUCUCUUAUAU